GCUCUCGUAGCUCAGUUGGAUAGAGCGUUUGGCUACGAACCAAAAGGUCGCAGGUUCGAAUCCUGCCGGGGGCA
rnacentral:tRNA from 2 species